rnacentral:rRNA from 2 species
CUUGACCUCAGAUCAGGCA